CACGUAGGGUGCAAGCGUUGUCCGGAUUCAUUGGGCGUAAAGGGCUAGUAGGCGGCUUAGCAAGUCGGGUGUGAAAACUUCAGGCUCAACCUGGAGCGGCCAUCCGAUACUGCUAUGGCUAGAGUCCGGUAGGGGACCACGGAAUUCCUGGUGUAGCGGUGAAAUGCGCAGAUAUCAGGAGGAACACCAAUGGCGAAGGCAGCACUCUGGGACGUGACUGACGCUGAGACGCGAAAGCGUGGGGAGCAAACAGG
rnacentral:rRNA from 1 species